UACGUAGGGGCGAGCGUUAUCCGGAAUUAUUGGGCGUAAAGGGUUCGCAGGCGGCCUUGUAAGUCAGAUGUGAAAGACAGCGGCUUAACCGUUGUAAGCAUUUGAAACUGCAGGGCUUGAGUACAGGAGAGGAAAGCGGAAUUCCUAGUGUAGCGGUGAAAUGCGUAGAUAUUAGGAGGAACACCAGUGGCGAAGGCGGCUUUCUGGACUGAUACUGACGCUGAGGAACGAAAGCGUGGGGAGCAAACAGGAUUAGAUACCCCUGUAGUUCCU
rnacentral:rRNA from 1 species